rnacentral:rRNA from 1 species
UACGAAGGGUGCAAGCGUUACUCGGAAUUACUGGGCGUAAAGCGUGCGUAGGUGGUUUGUUAAGUCUGAUGUGAAAGCCCUGGGCUCAACCCCGGAACUGCAUCCGAUACUGCCAUGCUAGAGGAUUGGAGAGGUAGCUGGAAUUCUUGGUGUAGCAGUGAAAUGCGUAGAGAUCAAGAGGAACACUCGUGGCGAAAGCGAGCUACUGGACAAUUCCUGACGCUGAGGCUCGAAGGCUAGGGUAGCGAAAGGG